UUUGUUUAAGGGUAUUCUAAACUUUUCACCUACACCAAAUAGCAACGUGUAAUUUACCCUAGAAUUGAAGAGCCGCCGCAACAAAGCAUAAGGAAAAUCUCUCUCCUCUCUCCUCUCUCCUCUCUCUCACUCUCUCUAUCUCGUUAAUAGAAGCCUAGUCUCAUCUGGAAACAACAUUUGCUUUCCUUUCAAGGUAUUUCUAUACGGUUGCAGUUCAUCUUUGUUUUUCAAUUUCGAUUAAGUUUGAAACGAGUGCACAAGGAAAAUUGGCCGCUGGAGCUCGCCAUCACGUUUGGCGAUUUGCCAAUACUAUUGGGCGACACGCCAAGUUCCCCCCUGAAGCUCGCCAAAAUGUCCUAAGAAGUUUACUCAGGGAUCAAAGACUUUUAUCAAGGCGAAGGAGGAUUUGGUGACCCGCUGAACGGGUUCUACGAGCUGGAGGACCUUGCCAAAAAGUUCAGAGAGUUUUGCUCAGAAACAAGGCCUAUUGGCGAGACAGGGGAAGGGAACGGCGACUCGUCGAUUUGGUUGGCGAGCUAUAUCGACCUCACCAAAGAUUUCAGAGAAAAUCUCUUCAGAGUUCGAGGACGUUUUGCGAGCAAGGCUAGGAGAUCCGCGACUCGCCGAUCAGGACGGUGAGCUCGACCGAUCUCGCCCACUGGGCCCUGUCAUUUAUUUUAAGUUUAUCUUGGUCUUUUUCAACCUUUUUCAAACUUAACUCAAGCCAUUUUGGGACUAGAAUUAAACCCUUAUCAGUACCCAACAAAGUCUUUCUCUCAUUAACACAAAAAACCUUUUGAGAACAUGAAUUAGAGAGAAGGAGAAGAGCUAGGGCUUAACAGUUUCAAGCCAAAACAUCGAGUCUCACCUAGAUAAUCUUCAUCCCAGAUACAGGUGUUAGGGAUCAUCAACAGACGAACCGUUGAGGAUCUAUCUUCCAUAGCUUUGGUGAGACCUCUUUGCAUUCAGAGGAUCUUCUUCAUUAUCAGCUUUAUGUUGUUUCAUUAUUUAAGAUGGUCAUGGGCUUAUCUCGACACCUUCAAUUGGUAGAGGUUUCAUAGACUGAGUAGAGUGAAGCUAUGUUGAGCCUUUCAGAAUCUGUUUUGAAAAAUACGACUUUCAUUAUUGAGUUAUAAUAUUGACUUACAUUUUUAUAUGAGUACUUUAAGUUAAAGUUAUUAUUUUAUAUGAGUGCUUUAAGUUAUUUUUAGCUCCCUCCAUAUCAAUCUUCUGCCAGUGGAAGGCUAGAGGAUUCAACAUAUCAGAAAUACUCCAAGUAUGUUUCUUAUUGCUCAGACCUAUUUUCUUUUAUACCCCUUUUAAUCCUUUUUUCCUUUAUGUCAACGAUGAGGGAUAUUUUGCCCUUGAUUUUUUUUAUUUUUCAUUUAUAGCACCACAUUGACAACAAACAGGAUGAUUAACUCCUCUCUUUUUGACAUUGUAAGUGGAACAUAUGGAAGGCAAAAUACAGGCCUCAAAAAUCCGAGUUGAGCUAAAGCUGUAUUCAGAGCAAUGGAGUUUGGCUCAUGAAACAACCAUUCAUGAUUCAAUCAAUGGCAUUAGCUUUGACUUCAGGCAGUGCAAUAUCAUUUUUUUUUUGCUUCCCCUUUAUGGCAAAUGGAGAGACUAUUGCUAUAAAAUUUUGAGUAGAAAGUAGCAUAUUCUACUUUUGAUUUCAAUCCUUUCUCAGUUUCAUCUUCUAAUAAAUAACCAAGUAUAGUAACUUAAUAGACUAACACUGGGGAUAUAGUAUGAUCCUAGUUUAAUAUGAUGAAAUUCAGCUAGUGGGGACGAUUGUGUAUGAUCCUCGAUACAGUGGACAACAUAUGUAAUUGGCAAAGGAAGACGAUGUUUUUUCACAAUGCAUCAA